UGCAUCGGCCGGGAAUCGAACCCUGGCCGCCCGCGUGGCAGGCGAGCAUUCUACCACCGAACCACCGAUGC
rnacentral:tRNA from 1 species